CCUCAAUGCCGCGUGAUGAGAACCCCUCGGUUUGUAAGCCUUUUGUCAGGGAAGAAAAGGUCUGGCUAAUAUCCAGAGCUGCUGCUCGCCACCUGAAGAAUAAGCACCGGCUAACUACGUGCCAGCAGCCGCGGUAAUACGUAGGGUGCAAGCGUUAAUCGGAAUUACUGGGCGUAAAGCGUGCGCAGGCGGUUUUAUAAGUCUGAUGUGAAAUCCCCGGGCUCAACCUGGGAACUGCAUUGGAGACUGUAAGGCUAGAGUGUGUCAGAGGGGGGUAGAAUUCCACGUGUAGCAGUGAAAUGCGUAGAUAUGUGGAGGAAUACCGAUGGCGAAGGCAGCCCCCUGGGAUAACACUGACGCUCAUGCACGAAAGCGUGGGGAGCAAACAGGAUUAGAUACCCUGGUAGUCCAACGCCCUAAACGAUGUCAACUAGUUGUCGGGUCUUAAUGGACUUGGUAACGCAGCUAACGCGUGAAGUUGACCGCCUGGGGAGUACGGUCGCAAGAUUAAAAUCAAAGGAAUUGACGGGGACCCGCACAAGCGGUGGAUGAUGUGGAUUACA
rnacentral:rRNA from 1 species